rnacentral:tRNA from 1 species
UGGGGCAUAGCCAAGCGGUAAGGCAACGGACUUUGACUCCGUCACCCGCUGGUUCGAAUCCAGCUGUCCCAA